AUGUCUCACUGGAUCCGGGUUGUCAGUGCGUUGGUGCUUUGCGCAGUUUAUUCAAACGCGGAGGUCACAGUAAAUCAGCCGCCUUCGAAGUCCACCUCUCCGGGACAGAACGUCCAAAUCACCUGCACCAUGUCUGGCGCCACUUUAGGGAGUAGCAAUGUGUACUGGUACCAGUAGAUUCCCGGAAACACUCCCCGGAGUGUGGUAUACUAUUAUUCUGGGAGUAGCGUUUACAGAGGGCCGGGAAUUCCAGACCGUUUCUCCGGCUCAGUGUCAGGCAACACUGCGACAUUCACAAUAUCGAACGUCCAGUCGGAGGACGCUGCGGACUAUUACUGUGCCAUGUGGAAAAGCGGUUUAUUCUUCGGCAAAGGAACGAGGCUGGGAAUUGGCAAUCCCCGUGCACCCACUGUGUCUCUACUUCCACCUUCAGCGGCGGAGGUCACGGGAAAGGGAACUGCGACCCUGGUGUGUUUGGUGAACGGGUUUAAUCCGGGCGCUGUGGACAUUCAGUGGACUAUGGACGGCAGUGAGAGAAGGGAUGGUGUUGAGACCAGCCGGGUCCAGCAGGAGACGGACAACACAUUCAGUACGAGCAGUUACCUGACUCUGCCAGCCUCAGUCUGGAACUCACACGAACGUUACUCCUGUGUGGUUAAACACGAGACUCAGGCAAACCCGAUUAAGGCAAACAUCGCGAGAUCCAGCUCCCGACUGAUUGGUCCGCGGAAUAAGCUGAUGCAGGGUCAGAUAAUUGCAAUGGUCCCCAAAUUCAUUCGGAAGUGCAUUCCAGCAGGGAUGCAUGUAAGUGAGCCGGAGAGAAAGUCCAGAAGCCACUUCAGCUGGAAACUGUCGCCCUGUCGGAGCUCCAGUCAUUCAAUUGCAAUGUCUCACUGGAUCCGGGUUGUCAGUGCGUUGGUGCUUUGCGCAGUUUAUUCAAACGCGGAAAUCACAGUAAAUCAGCCCCCUUCGAAGUCCACCUCUCCGGGACAGAACGUCGAAAUCACCUGUACCAUGUCUGGCGCCAGUUUAGGGAGUAGCAAUGUGUACUGGUACCAGCAGAUUCCCGGAAACACUCCCCGAUCUGUAGUGUACUAUUGGUCGGGCAGUAGCGUUUACAGAGGCCCGGGAAUUCCAGACCGUUUCUCCGGAUCAGUGUCAGGCAACACUGCGACAUUCACAAUAUCGAACGUCCAAACGGAGGACGCUGCGGACUAUUACUGUGCCAUGUGGAGCAGCGGUUUAUUCUUCGGCAAAGGAACGAGGCUGGGCAUUGGCAAUCCCCGUGCACCCACUGUGUAUCUACUCCCACCUUCAUCGGCGGAGAUCACGGGAAAGGGAACAGCGACCCUGGUGUGUUUGGUGAAUAGGUUUAAUCCGGGUGCUGUGGACAUUGAGUGGACUGUGGACGGCAGUGCGAGAAAGAAUGGCGUUGAAACCAGCCCGAUCCAGCAGGACACUGACAACACGUUCAGUACAAGCAGUUACCUGACGCUGCCAGACGCAGACUGGAACUCACACGAGCUUUACUCCUGUGUGGUUAAACAUGAGACUCAGGCAAACCCGAUUAAGGCAAACAUCGCGAGAUCCGGAUGCAUCUGAUGUCUGAUGCUUGUGAGCUGAGCUGACGUUUGUUUAUCACUUGUCCAUCCUUUUCUGUGGCAAGGGGGUAGAAAUAUGUUAGAUUUCGAAGUUUAAAUAAAUAAAUAGCCUCUGAAUUUGAAACAAGGAUUUUAUGACCUGUUCACUUUAAAUGCAGUUGACAGAUUAUCGCUGUUGAUUUUAGCCUCAAGAUGAAAUAAUCGUCCUUUUGUGCAUUCAAUACCGUUAGCCAAAGGCGCGGAUAUUGCUAUUGUACCCGAGGUAUUGUUUGUAGCCAUUGAAUAAAAUUAAUGAACUGAUUUCAAAUGCA